GAUGAAUGCUGGCGGCGUGCCUAACACAUGCAAGUCGAGCGGCAGCGAGGGGUGCUUGCACCCUGUCGGCGAGCGGCGAACGGCUGAGUAACGCGUAGGAAUUUGCCCCAAAGUGAGGAAUAACUGCCCGAAAGGGUAGCUAAUGCCGCAUAUGGUCUUCGGAUUAAAGGAUUUAUCCGCUUUGGGAGAAGCCUGCGUUGGAUUAGGUUGUUGGUAGGGUAAUGGCCUACCAAGCCGACGAUCCAUAGCUGGUCUGAGAGGAUGAUCAGCCAGACUGGAACUGAGACACGGUCCAGACUCCGACGGGAGGCAGCAGUGAGGAAUCUUCCACAAUGGGCGAAAGCCUGAUGGAGCAACGCCGCGUGAAGGAUGAAGGCCUUCGGGUUGUAAACUUCUUUUAUGAGUGAAGAAUAUGACGGUAACUCAUGAAUAAGCACCGGCUAACUACGUG
rnacentral:rRNA from 1 species